rnacentral:rRNA from 1 species
GAUCAUGGCUCAGGAUGAACGCUAGCUACAGGCUUAACACAUGCAAGUCGAGGGGAAGCGACAUCGAAAGCUUGCUUCCGAUGGGCGUCGACCGGCGCACGGGUGAGUAACGCGUAUCCAACCUGCCCACCACUUGGGGAUAACCUUGCGAAAGUAAGACUAAUACCCAAUGAUAUCUCUAGAAGACAUCUGAAAGAGUAAUUAAAGUAUUUAUCGGUGAUGGAGUGGGGAUGCGU